GGUAGCUCAGAGGAUAGAGCAACGGCCUUCUAAGCCGUCGGUCGGGGGUUCGAAUCCCUCCC
rnacentral:tRNA from 1 species